UACAGGGGGGGCAAGCGUUGUUCGGAAUUACUGGGCGUAAAGGGCUCGUAGGUGGCCAACUAAGUCAGACGUGAAAUCCCUCAGCUUAACUGGGGAACUGCGUCUGAUACUGGAUGGCUUGAGUUUGGGAGAGGGAUGCGGAAUUCCAGGUGUAGCGGUGAAAUGCGUAGAGAUCCGGAGGAACACCAGCGGCGAAGGCGGCGUCCUGGACUGGUACUGACGCUCAGGAGCGAAAGCGUGGGGAGCGAUCCGG
rnacentral:rRNA from 1 species